AGGAUUUAAAAGAGAAAAAACAAAGGAACGGGUCUAGCUUAACAGAUUUGGGGGUUAGGGUUUGGAUAUAGAUUUGGGUGUGUAAUUAAAGGAGAAGCAAGCGGAUGGCUGGAGCCUGUAGGCUGUUCUUCGGUAGUCGACCAAGCUAGAACCGCUGACUUGUAGAGAAACUAAGGUGUGGAUAUUAGUCGAUGCCAAAGAGGGACAAAGGAAUAAGGGGGUGGGUUCGUCGGUGUUAAGCUGCGGUAGUGUUCGAGAAUGGAGGGGGUUGUCGGUGGCUGGACUCCGGCCAGAUGCAAUUCAAGCGGCAACAUUUUUUUGGUGAACACUCCACCCACCUAUGUUUGUUUCGAAUAAAUGCAUUUGAAUUUAUUUUUACUUUUUCCUUUCUUUUUUCAAAUUAUAUAUGAUGUUGUGUAGGCCUGCUGGUUAUGUGAUUUGUGUGUCAUUUGUAUUGUUUCAUCUAAUAUUGCUUAACAUAUAACAUCGCAAAUGCUACAGAUGUUGUUUCAAAGCUACAGGGGUUUAAGUCAAGUGAUUGUGUAAAGGAAUAUUGAGGUGUGCUGUGUGUGUAUGUGUUGACAUGUGAAAGGCGGUGGUUAAGUGUUGUUUUCUUAUCUUCUCUACUCUUGUUAUCUCUUCAGGUCAAUAAUAAAUUUUGCUUGAAUGUUUCAUGAAUUCACUAUAUACUGAAAAGGUAGUUUUCUUUUUUAUUUUUGUUUUGGCCAAGUGAGCUGCUGAAUUUUCAUUCUUAGCAGAUGUAGGUGCUGCUAACACCGACCCAUCUAACCAUAGUCAUGGAAUAUGCUGGAGAAGGGGAACUUUUUGAAUGAAUUUGCAAUGCCGAUAGAUUUAGUGAAGAUAAGUACUCUGUCAUGUCCUCCUUUUCUUCUGAACUCGGGGUUCAAUUUGGGACCUGCCAGGAAGCUCCAUAUGUCAUAGAUGUUGACUCGCAGGCACACAACGGCCAAGUUUCAAGACAAACGGGGAUCUGUCACUGCUGGAAAUGCUUCUAGUAUAAGGCCCCUGAGGUAUUUAUUACGGCUCCAUCACUAGCCAUACCGAAAGCUAUUACCAAUGCUGGUUUACAGGCUUCAGCAGUUGAUUAUUAUGACAUAAAGGAAGCCUUUUCUGUAAGAGUUCUCGCUCUUUUCGAGUCUUCUUCUAAUACGCGAAUUGAGCAUAUGUUUAUGACGAGACAGCCACAUUAACAGCAACAACAUGUACAGAGGAUGAGGACACCUGUCGAGAACACAUUGCAAUCUUCUUACAUUGAGGAAGCAAGCCCGAAUUUCAAUUUCCAAGUAUAGUUAGUUUUAUAUUUACCUAGCCAGUAAUACCUACAUUAGUUUUAGUUUCAUGCACUAGUACUUAUUCUGGUAUGGUUGCUAGUUGGUAGGCUUGGACCUUUGUUUUUGGUAUUUGGAUUGUGUUUGUUGCUGAAUAUUGGUUGGUAAAUUUGAAAUGGGAAAAGCUAUUUUUUAAA